rnacentral:rRNA from 1 species
GACGAACGCUGGCGGCGUGCUUAACACAUGCAAGUCGAACGGAAAGGCCCCUUUGGGGGUACUCGAGUGGCGAACGGGUGAGUAACACGUGAGUAACCUGCCCUUGACUUCGGGAUAACUUCCUGAAACUGGGGCGAAUACCGGAUAGGAAUCCUUUCUGCAUGGAGGGGGUUGGAAAGCUUCGGCGGUUUGGGAUGGACUCGCGGCUUAUCAGCUUGUUGGUGGGGUAGUGGCUUACCAAGGCUUUGACGGGUAGCCGGCCUGAGAGGGUGACCGGCCACAUUGGGACUGAGAUACGGCCCAGACUCCUACGGGAGGCAGCAGUGGGAAUAUUGCCACAUGGGGCGAAGCCCGGAGCAGCAACGCCGCGGGGGGGAUGACCGGCCUCGGGUUGGAAACCGGUUUCCGCAGGUGCGGAGGUUGUAGUGACGGUACCUGCUGAAGAAGCACCGGCUAACUACGUG